rnacentral:rRNA from 1 species
AUUGAACGCUGGCGGCAGGCCUAACACAUGCAAGUCGAACGGUAACAGGAAGAAGCUUGCUUCUUUGCUGACGAGUGGCGGACGGGUGAGUAAUGUCUGGGAAACUCCCUGAUUGCGGGGGAUAACUACUGGAAACGGUAGCUAAUACCGCAUAACGUCGCAAGACCAAAGAGGGGGACCUUCUGGCCUCUUGCCAUCUGAUGUGCCCAGAUGGGAUUAGCUAGUAGGUGGGGUAACGGCUCACCCAGGCGACGAUCCCUAGCUGGUCUCAGAGGAUGACCAGCCACACUGGAACUGAGACACGGUCCAGACUCCUACGGGAGGCAGCAGUGGGGAAUAUUGCACAAAGGGCGCAAGCCUGAUGCAGCCAUGCCGCGUGUAUGAAGAAGGCCUUCGGGUUGUAAAGUACUUUCAGCGGGGAGGAAGGGAGUAAAGUUAAUACCUUUGCGCAUUGACGGUACCCGCAGAAGAAGCACCGGCUAACUCCGUG